AACGAACGCUGGCGGCAGGCCUAACACAUGCAAGUCGAGCGAAGCCUUCGGGCUUAGCGGCGGACGGGUGAGUAACGCGUGGGAACGUGCCCUUUGCUACGGAAUAGCCCCGGGAAACUGGGAGUAAUACCGUAUGUGCCCUUCGGGGGAAAGAUUUAUCGGCAACGGAUCGGCCCGCGUUGGAUUAGGUAGUUGGUGGGGUAAUGGCCUACCAAGCCGACGAUCCAUAGCUGGUUUGAGAGGAUGAUCAGCCACACUGGGACUGAGACACGGCCCAGACUCCUACGGGAGGCAGCAGUGGGGAAUCUUAGACAAUGGGGGAAACCCUGAUCUAGCCAUGCCGCGUGAUCGAUGAAGGCCUUAGGGUUGUAAAGAUCUUUCAGUGGGGAAGAUAAUGACGGUACCCGCAGAAUAAGCCCCGGCUAACUUCGUGCCAGCCGCCGCGGUAAUAC
rnacentral:rRNA from 1 species